CUCCCCCCCCCCCCCCCCCCCCUGCCUAUGGCCGUAGUCCGCGAGCGCCGCCAACUCAACCUCCGCCUCCCUCUUCCCGAACUCUCCGAGCGCCGCCCUCGCUUUCCGUUGCCACUCCCUCCAAGUAUCACCACUUCUACCAACACCACCGCCUUCUCUAUGAUCUCUUGUAAUGAUCUCGAAAAGCUCCAAGUUUUAGGCCACGGUAAUGGUGGUACUGUCUAUAAAGUACGUCAUAAGAAGACUUCCCAAGUUUAUGCCCUUAAAGUUG
rnacentral:misc_RNA from 1 species